rnacentral:rRNA from 1 species
GGGUUUAAAGGGUGCGUAGGCGGCUAUUUAAGUCAGGGGUGAAAGACGGCAGCUCAACUGUCGCAGUGCCUUUGAUACUGAAUAGCUUGAAUACACUUGAGGUAGGCGGAAUGUGACAAGUAGCGGUGAAAUGCAUAGAUAUGUCACAGAACACCAAUUGCGAAGGCAGCUUACUAAAGUGUGAUUGACGCUGAGGCACGAAAGCGUGGGGAUCAAACAGGAUUAGAUACCCUGGUAGUCCACGCCCUAAACGAUGAAUACUCGAUGUUGGCGAUAUACGGUCAGCGUCUAAGCGAAAGCGUUAAGUAUUCCACCUGGGGAGUACGCCCGCAAGGGUGAAACUCAAAGGAAUUGACGGGGGCCCGCACAAGCGGAGGAGCAUGUGGUUUAAUUCGAUGAUACGCGAGGAACCUUACCCGGGCUUGAAAGUUAGUGAAUGGAGCAGAGACGCUCCAGUCCUUCGGGACACGAAACUAGGUGCUGCAUGGCUGUCGUCAGCUCGUGCCGUGAGGUGUUGGGUUAAGUCCCGCAACGAGCGCAACCCCUGUGUUUAGUUGCCAGCAUGUAAUGGUGGGGACUCUAAACAGACUGCCUAUGCAAAUAGAGAGGAAGGAGGGGACGACGUCAAGUCAUCAUGGCCCUUACGUCCGGGGGCUACACACGUGCUACAAUGGGCAGUACAGAGGGCAGCUACCUGGCAACAGGAUGCCAAUCUCUUAAAGCUGUUCACAGUUCGGGAUCGGGGUCUGCACUCGACCCCGUGAAGUUGGAUUCGCUUAGUAAUCGCGUAUCAGCCAUGACGCCGGUGAAUACGUUCCCCGGCCUGGUACUCACCGCC